UACGUAGGGACCAAGCGUUGUUCGGAUUUACUGGGCGUAAAGGGCGCGUAGGCGGCAUGACAAGUCACUUGUGAAAUCUUCGGGCUUAACCCGGAACGGCCAAGUGAUACUGUCGCGCUAGAGUGCGGAAGGGGCAAUCGGAAUUCUCGGUGUAGCGGUGAAAUGCGUAGAUAUCGAGAGGAACACCUGAGGUGAAGACGGGUUGCUGGGCCGACACUGACGCUGAGUGCGCGAAAGCCAGGGGAGCAAACGGG
rnacentral:rRNA from 1 species